rnacentral:rRNA from 1 species
UACGGCUCAGUAACACGUAGUUAAUCUACCCUUAGGUGAAGGAUACCCACGGGAAACUGUGGUUAAUACUUCAUAGAGGCUAUGCGCUGGAACGCGCCUGCCUUGAAAUUCGUGCCUAAGGAUGAGACUGCGGAUGAUUAGCUUGUUGGUGGGGUAACUGCCUACCAAGGCGAUGAUCAUUACGGGCUCUUAGCGGAGUUGCCCGGAGAAGGAAUCUGAGACACAAUUCCUAGCUCUACGGAGUGCAGCAGCAGCGAAUCAUUUACAAUGCACGAAAGUGUGAUAAUGCGAGCCAAAGUGCUUUUCUUUUUGAAAAGCUUUUACCCACUGUAAAAAAGUGGGAGAAUAAGGACUGGGAAAGACUGGUGCCAGCCGCCGCGGUAAUACCAGCAGUUCAAGUCGCAUCCCUUAUUAUUGGGUCUAAAACAUCCGUAGCUUGCCAUAUAAGUCUCUUGUGAAAUCCCACGUCUCAAGCGUGGUGAAGUGCAGGAGAUACUGUAUGGCUAGAGAUCGGUAGACGUAAGGAGUACGCCGGAGGUAGUGGUAAAAUACGUUAAUCUUCGGUGGACUAACAAUGAGCGAAGGCACCUUACGAGGACGAAUCUGACAGUCAGGGAUGAAGGCCAGGGGCGCAAAACGGAUUAGAUACCCGUGUAGUCCUGGCAGUAAACACUGCUCACUAAACAUCGGGCCCUCUUCGGGAGGAUUCGGUGCUGAAGCGAAGGCGAAGAGUGAGCUACCUGGGAAGUAUAGUCGCAAGAUCGAAACUUAAAGGAAUUGGCGGA